rnacentral:lncRNA from 1 species
UGUAGAAGCGAAAAGUUUUUUCAUUUUGAUUAUUUUCUAUCCGCAAAAUGAUACAAUUAAAAUUGUUACAUGGUUUAUAGACAAGUAAAUUUAUUUAGUCAACAAAAUAAUAAAAUAGCAAGAUUAAUAUUAAGACUAGCUAUCGAAAUUAAAGAAGAUAACAAGCCUGGAACCUAACCCAAUGUCUCUGAGAGCAAACAUAAAGCUAACGAUAAAGUGCAAAUUAAAGUUGUUAAGUUGAGAGAAAAAUAAGAAAUAAAGCUUCCGUUUGCAGAAAGUUUCAUCGAAGACUUUGCUCUCAGCGGAGAAUAAGUGGUGUCUACAAACCAAGCCAGCAUCUUUUUUUAUCUACAAUAUGUGGAGCUUCCAUAGUUUGAAUUUUGAUUGCUGGUCUUUCCUUUUUGAGAGUGAAUCUCCACGUGCGAAUAGUCCUUAGAUUGUUCUUUGAUCUAAGGGAUUGAUAACUUUCCUUUGCAAUGCAUAUCUUCAGUAAUCUGAGCAGACACAAUUUCAGUAACCUAAAUAUCCUCAAAUCUUGGUCCUUCCUUCUUUAUUCUCAGUCAUCUGAGUUGUCAUAUCUUUUACAAAUCUCUUUAAUCUUAGACUUUCUUUUCUUGUUUUUGUUGACAAAUCUUUGCAUUCUUCUUUUCUUGUCUUAUUUCUUACAUGAUUGACAGACUUGCUCGCAUUCUCCUUUGCGUCUGGAACGAACCUACAAACAAAGAUAUGUUAUUUUUCAUCAUUAAAAUCU